AAAAACAUAUCUAAUAGAAAUAAUUAUUAGUAUAACCUGCUCAAUGAAAUUUAAAUAGCCGCAGUUUAACUGUGCUAAGGUAGCAUAAUCAUUUGUCUUUUAAUUAAAGACUAGAAUGAAUGGUUAUACAUUUAAUCACUUUUUUAAAAUUCAAUCUUAAAUUAUUUUAAAUGUAAAAAAACAUUUAUUUACAAGAAAGACGACAAGACCCUAUUGAACUUAACUUUAGUUUAACUGGGGUAGUUAAAUAAAAAAAUUUUAUAUAAAAUUCUUUUUAAAAAUGACCUAUUAAAAAUAAUUUCAUGAACAAGUUACCAUAGGGAUAACAGCGUAAUAAUUUUUAUUAGAUCUUAUAUAAAAAAAUGAUUACGACCUCGAUGUUGAAUUAAUUUAACUAGUACACGCAAAAGUAUAUAUAGAAAGUCUGUUCGACUUUUAAAAAAUUACAUGAUCUGAG
rnacentral:rRNA from 1 species